rnacentral:rRNA from 1 species
UACGAAGGGGGCUAGCGUUGCUCGGAAUUACUGGGCGUAAAGGGCGCGUAGGCGGACAUCUAAGUCAGGGGUGAAAUCCCAGGGCUCAACCCUGGAAUUGCCUUUGAUACUGGACGUCUCGAGUUCGGGAGAGUGAGUGGAAUUCCGAGUGUAGAGGUGAAAUUCGUAGAUAUUCGGAAGAACACCAGUGGCGAAGGCGACUUACUGGACGAUUGUUGACGCUGAGACGCGAAAGCGUGGGGAGCAAACAGG